AACCCGUGGCAAACUCCGAAUACCGGGAAGUGCAAUGACGGGGAGACACACGGUGGGUGCGAACAUCCAUCGUGAAGAGGGAAACAACCCAGACCGCCAGCUAAGGUCCCCAAAUUGCGGCUCAGUGGGAAACGAAGUGGGAAGGCCCAGACAGCCAGGAGGUUGGCUUAGAAGCAGCCAUCCUUUAAAGAAAGCGUAAUAGCUCACUGGUCGAGUCGGCCCGCGCGGAAGAUUUACCGGGGCUUAAGCCGCAUACCGAAGCUGCGGAUGCCGUAAGGCAUGGUAGGGGAGCGUUCCGUAGGCCUGUGAAGGGCUGCUGUAAAGCAGUCUGGAGGUAUCGGAAGCGCGAAUGCUGACAUGAGUAACGAUCAUGCGGGUGAAAACCCCGCACGCCGCAAGCCCCAGGGUUCCUGCGCAACGGCAAUCGACGCAGGGUGAGUCGGCCCCUAAGGCGAGGCCGAAAGGCGUAGUCGAUGGGAAACCGGUCAACAAUCCG
rnacentral:rRNA from 1 species